CCUACGGGAGGCAGCAGUGAGGAAUAUUGGUCAAUGGACGAGAGUCUGAACCAGCCAAGUAGCGUGAAGGAUGACUGCCCUAUGGGUUGUAAACUUCUUUUAUAAAGGAAUAAAACGAGGCACGUGUGCCUUUUUGCAUGUACUUUAUGAAUAAGGAUCGGCUAACUCCGUGCCAGCAGCCGCGGUAAUACGGAGGAUCCGAGCGUUAUCCGGAUUUAUUGGGUUUAAAGGGAGCGUAGAUGGGUUGUUAAGUCAGUUGUGAAAGUUUGCGGCUCAACCGUAAAAUUGCAAUUGAUACUGGCAGUCUUGAGUACAGGUGAGGUAGGCGGAAUUCGUGGUGUAGCGGUGAAAUGCUUAGAUAUCACGAAGAACCCCGAUUGCGAAGGCAGCUUACUAAACUGUGACUGACAUUGAUGCUCGAAAGUGUGGGUAUCGAACAGGAUUAGAUACCCUUGUAGUC
rnacentral:rRNA from 1 species